AUCGUUUAACAACAUUUAAUUUAUAACACCUUUUAAACAUUUAGACAGAUUAACACAUAACACUUCUUAUAUAGAAACAUCAAUUCGAAGUUAUCAGCUUGGAGAAAUUGGUCGAUUAAUACCUGUAGAUUGUCUGUCUCGAUGAAAGACUUAAAGAGAGCAAAAACAUGAUAAUGCCGCUAAUAUAAUAUUCCUUCUUUCUUGUAUCUGUCUGCCUCUCAGGUCGUUUUACUAAUUACAAUAAGUAAUUUCGCCUUCUUUGCGCUCUCUUUUAACGCAUUCGAGACCGAAAGAAAUUCAUAUCAGUCAGUAGGCAAGGGUAUAAUAUACAUAUUUUAUAUAUAACUUAUGUAGUAAUGUAUAUAUCAUGUUAAUUUCAUAUUUUUUUCAAUAUAGAAUUAUUAUAUAUAUAUAUUUAACUGUACAUAAUACAUUAUAGAAUAACGUAGUAUAUAAUUUUAUAUUUUAAAAAUAUGAGGCAUACUAUUCAAGAUUGUCGUCGAUUUAAAAUCAAAGUAUGAAAAGGAUACCCUGGAGAGAGUAAAACACAGAAUCAUUCUAACUAAACAUUCAGAUCGUACCGACACCUAGGUAUCGUCUUACAAUUAAAUCUCGGUCUCGAAUGGAUUAAAAUGAAAUACAUACUUGCAGCUUCAACAUCUUCAAUAUCGAGGAGAUUCAAACUUUACAAAUAAAAGCGGCCUGUUCCCCUUUCCACGACAGACUCUCAUACCAUAUCCGCUCUUAUCCAGGCUUUUACUUGAAACCAGCAAUGCGUUCAUUUACAAUUUAAAUUUACCCGGACCAUCCACUGAAUCGUCAGCCCUUUACAAGAAAUGAGAGGGAACGUUCGCCCUUGAACACAUAAAACAAAAAAAAAAAAAAAAAAAUAGAAAAGGAAAAAAACCACAAAUUUUAGUGAAGCUAUUUUAUUGAAACUUAUUAUAUCAUUUUAACAGCUAUAUAUAAAACGUUGAAUUAUUUCCUUUCGCGCUGAGCAAUUUUAUUUCAAAUUUCUAGCUUCAGAAUGAUAAUUACGUAUUUGUAAUUAUCAACAAGCUUUAAAAAUAUGGAAUAUUCAGCCAGAUGAAAUAUAGGUAAAGUAUUUAGAAGAAAAAAGAUUGAAAUGUUUUAUGUAAAACGAUUAAAUUAAGUGGAAAACUGCGCUUCUUCCUGCUCCUCUACAUGGCGCUACGCGGGACUCGCUUCUGAGCACGUCUUUCUCGUUGGAGGCUUCUUCUUUCUUUUCUUUCCCAGUAGAAUUUUUGCACAAUUCUUUCUCCCUUUUAUCAUUAAAUUACCUCUAAUUCUUAACAAUCUUUAAUCUUUGUCUCUUCUUCCCUAUAUAUAUAUUUUUGUUUACUUUUCUCCGUAGCGAAUUUUGUCUUUCUGACGCAGGAUUAGGUUCCUGGACUUAGGGAGUUGCUACACGCCAGCUCCACCAUGGCGACGGCAUUCACUAGGCAGCCUACAUAGCCACCUUUCAGCUCACGCUUCGGGACACUUUUUUCGCUGAGAUUCUCCGCGAUGAGGCAUGAAAGCAGAGACCACCGUCUGCGGAGGCAUGAUUAUUCUAUUGUUCCUUUUAACGAGUAAUCGUUUUACUCGAGUCCUCUCACUAAACCGUAAGUACGAAAGACUAUUAUACUUAGAUAGGUACUUGGUCUCAAGAACCAACUUAUUUUGGUCUUUCGAUUAAGUUCUUAAUUAAAUGCUCAAUUAGAUAUUCCUAAAUAUAUCUUCAUAAUAUUUCCCUCAUCUAUUUCUUUGACAUUCUAGCAACCUCGUUAAGACGUCCGCCACUUCAACUUCUAUCUACAAGUGGCAAAAACUGAAGCUGACCUUCUUCAUGGAGAAACAUGCCGGAAAUGGCAUCCGCACGUGUGAAUAAUUAUACUCAGUGUCCAGGUAGUUCUUUCGAUCAUCCGAUAGAAGUCGUUUCUGUUUUUCAGAGUUCGUUCACGUCUCCAGAAUGUAAAAAUAUCCAAGGAAGUACCAUUAGGAAGCAAUGAAAUUCAGAGUUUCUGUGGUUAUUCCUUUUUCUGAUUGUUUCUUUUCUUUGCCCAAAAUGGAUGAUUUCUAUAUCAAAUUGUUUAUUCGUAUUUUUUUUUUAAUAUUCCUUGAGAUUUUCAAUCAACUCGAUUUCGAAUUUUUUAGCACCCGAUCUUCUGGUUGACGUCGUUAAGAAAGAGGAACGAGUGCACAGGAAGCAUGGUCGGCGUGAGCAUGAUUAGAUCCGGUCUGCCCGAUGACCUUGCCAGUGAUAAUAGCGGUUCGUUAAGGUGGUUGCAGUCUUGAUUUGCUUCUGUUUCGAUUUCCAGCGAACUCGUCAGCCGGCAUGGCUUCCGAGAUGCUCCCCCUGAAACAAGUCGAAGGGAAAUAAUUAAUGGACUCUCUGUUCGAUUACGGAACCAAAGAUUCUUAUCUGGUUUAUGGUGAGCUAAGGAACUCUUUGAAAACAGCAUUUAUAACUUUCGAAAAAGAGACAGGUAUUUCUUGCGCGAACAAUUGAAUAAUUAAUUCGUUCUCUAAAUAUCCUUAUUUGUUGUUCCUAAAAUACAUAAUGAUUGGAAGCUUCUUACGGGAAGCGCAAUCAGCCGCUGAUAUCAUUGAAGUCGAAACGCCAUUAAAACCAUAUUACGAUUCGCAUGCGACAUGCUCCAUUCAUGAAAACACAAAAGCAAUAAACAAGUACAAAUCAACGAAAUAAAUCCUCCGAGAACGAGACGUUACAGGAAUUAUACCAUUGCGAGGAUACAAAAGACUUGCUCAUGAGCUACUUCCUUCAAGUAGUCGAGCGGUGUAUUUUCCGGUCGUUAACUUCCAUAUAAUGGGAUAUUAAAGAGUACGGACACAACGCUGCUAUUUUUCAACUAUUCAUUAUCAAAUUACGCAGCGGGAAUCGUUGCAACGACAAAACUGUAACGACUCGUACCUGCGUAUCUUCCAUUUAGCUGCGGUAAACGCUGACUUGUCUGCGUUUUUUUUUUUCACUUCCUCGUUACGGAAACCAGGAAAAGUGAUUCACAAUACAGUUUCUAACUGUACUUCUCGCGAUUCUUUCUUAGAAACAAGCAAUUGCUUCUUUUCAAUUUCCUAAAUCUAUAAUAAAACAGUCCAUUCCUUGAAUAGAAAUUAACUUUAAAACUUUAGGCGCAUACAUUGUACGUAUCGUAUGUAUGUAUUUUGAUUUGAAAAGAAACGCGGCAAACGCCUUUGAAAAGACGUUAGGUUUUCAACACCUUAACUAACUUAAUUCCAGCGAGUUGCAAAUCUGCUGCAUCUCCAACAUCUGAAUAUCAAUCUUUUACAAUGA